CCCCUCUUGGUGAACCAGUGAAGGGUAAGAAGAACAAGACGACCACUCAACUGUGGCUCGAAAAAUUGUACAAAAAAGAAACCAAUUACCUGAACCUUUUUCUCAUGAGCUAGUUGACCGUCUUGAGACGUACUUGGAUAGCCUUGAAGAACAGCUUGUAGAUCUAUCUUCUCUUUUGUAUGAUCAUCGGCUACAAGACGCAUACAUGAACAGUAGCGAUAUUCUUGAAACCUCGAUUCUGACACAACAGUAUGUUGAUCAUGUACUGGAGUAUGAAAGGGAAGGGAUGAAAUGUUGUAGUAUCGAGUAUAUCCAAACAACAACAACGUCUAAUCAAAGUCUGUUUUAUGCAGUGAUUCUUCUUACAGGUUUCUUUGUGUAUUUUGUUGUUAUUUUCUUUUCAUGUCUUGUCAAGUGAUUACACCCCAACAGUUUAAUAAAAUUUGAUGGGUGGUUAUUAAAAAAAAGACCCGGCCCGACCCGAAACCCGUUCUGACCCGGACCCGUUUCGACUCGAACCAAAACAACCA